CCCUGGGCCAAUCAUCUUGUUUUGUGAGUGAAAGGGCUGAGACCAAAUCAGUUAAGGGACUUUUCAAGCGUAGUGAGUGAGAUGAUGGGAGAUGCCUGAGAGCUCUCGUGGUGGUUGGAGCUCAGCUUCCUCCAACCAAAAUUGGUGUUGGGGCAGAGGCAGAGGAGAGCAGCAGCUAUUUGAUCCUGGCUUUAUCCCUUCUCCAGACCCUGUGGAAGCUUGUCUGCUGGAGUCCUCAUCUAACUGCUCUCUGCCCCUUGGAGUGAGAUCAUUGUUUUGCUAACAAGUUUUGGGGUGGAAAAGAGUCCUGUGGAUUUGUUCCAGAAUAUUGUCCGUUUAACUGAGGCUCACUCAUUGGUUAGUGUUUAUCUUCCACCUGAAACAAAACCAACUUCCCCAUUCUGCUCACCCCUCUUUUCUCCUUUCCUUUUUAGGAGAAACAGGGUGCUGUGGCCACACUAGGGAGGAAGUAACUGGCCCAGUGUUCUCACCUCAGCAGGACAGCACGGAAUGACCCAGAAUGACCCCGUUCGGGAUGGUCCUUGGCAUCGCCCUCUGUCUCUGACCUGUGGCAGAGGAAAGAAGGAGCAAGAAACACGGUGUCAGAGAGAGGGAUAAAUUAAGAGGCCAAACAUAAAGAACAUGAAGAACACUCAUGAUUGUUUUGUUAUUAGAAUUUGGGUUUACAUAUGUGUAUGUAUCUCGGAAGGAUAUUGUAAGGAAUAAAAUCAUUUUAUAUGUAUAAAGUGCUGAGAAU
rnacentral:lncRNA from 1 species